rnacentral:tRNA from 1 species
CGGGCUGUAGCGCAGGUGGUAGCGCGUCCGCUUUGGGAGCGGAAGGCCGCGAGUUCGAGUCUCGCCAGCCCGACCA